UACGUAGGCAGCGAGCGUUGUUCGGAAUUACUGGGCGUAAAGAGUGUGUAGGCGGUGCUCUAAGUUCGGUGUGAAAUCUCCCGGCUUAACUGGGAGGGUGCGCCGGAAACUGGAGUGCUCGAGCGUGGGAGAGGAAAGCGGAAUUCCUGGUGUAGCGGUGAAAUGCGUAGAUAUCAGGAGGAACACCUGCGGUGUAGACGGCUUUCUGGACCAUUGCUGACGCUGAGACACGAAAGCGUGGGUAGCAAACAGA
rnacentral:rRNA from 1 species